rnacentral:rRNA from 1 species
AUUGAACGCUGGCGGCAGGCCUAACACAUGCAAGUCGAACGGUAACAGGAAGCAGCUUGCUGCUUUGCUGACGAGUGGCGGACGGGUGAGUAAUGUCUGGGAAACUGCUCGAUGGAGGGGGAUAACUACUGGAAACGGUAGCUAAUACCGCAUAACGUCGCAAGACCAAAGAGGGGGACCUUAGGGCCUCUUGCCAUCGGAUGUUCCCAGAUGGGAUUAGCUAGUAGGUGGGGUAACGGCUUACCUAGGCGACGAUCCCUAGCUGGUCUGAGAGGAUGACCAGCCACACUGGAACUGAGACACGGUCCAGACUCCUACGGGAGGCAGCAGUGGGGAAUAUUGCACAAUGGGCGCAAGCCUGAUGCAGCCAUGCCGCGUGUAUGAAGAAGGCCUUCGGGUUGUAAAGUACUUUCAGCGGGGAGGAAGGGAGUAAAGCUAAUACCUUUGCUCAUUGACGUUACCCGCAGAAGAAGCACCGGCUAACUCCGUG